CCUACGGGCGGCAGCAGUGGGGAAUAUUGCGCAAUGGGCGAAAGCCUGACGCAGCGACGCCGCGUGAGGGAUGAAGGUCUUCGGAUCGUAAACCUCUGUCAGCAGGGAAGAACGGUCACUGUGCUAAUCAGCCGUGAAUUGACGGUACCUGCAAAAGAAGCACCGGCUAACUCCGUGCCAGCAGCCGCGGUAAUACGGAGGGUGCGAGCGUUAAUCGGAAUUACUGGGCGUAAAGCGCUCGUAGGCGGUAUGUCAAGUCAAGGGUGAAAUCCCCGCGCUCAACGUGGGAACUGCCUUUGAAACUGGCAGACUGGAGUGUGGGAGAGGGGAGUGGAAUUCCAGGUGUAGGAGUGAAAUCCGUAGAGAUCGGGAGGAAUACCAGUGGCGAAGGCGACCACCUGGAAGAUAACUGACGCUGAGGUGCGAAAGCGUGGGGAGCAAACAGGAUUAGAUACCCGGGUAGUC
rnacentral:rRNA from 1 species